GCGCAAUUUGUUGAGGUGGAGUCCUGAUGAGGGACUUGCCGCAAUAUUUUGUGCAUGUUGCAUUUGGCAGCUUGGCGUUCUGCUUGGCUUUGCUGGGGCGAUACUUGCAGUGAAGCAUGCUUACCACUUGUUUGGUUCGCAUAUCACUUGUGACCUUCUGAUUUUGAAAGAUGAAGGAAAUUUAACGUGGGAAGCUGUACGUUGUUGAGAUGACGGCAGUUGUCUGCCAAGGCAAGGUUUGGCAAACUCACAUUCACACUCUCAUCAGUUGUCGAUUGCUUAACCGCAGUUGCACAACGAGGGAUUGAAUGCUGAAAGCAGAUUCGUUUGUGGCAUCAUUCGAACCGUCUUGAAACACGGGCUAAGGAGUUCAACAGAUGCGCGAGUUUACUGGUCCGGCGAAACCAGAAGGCUAAGUUAACGCGACUUUGUGUAUUAUAGUGAGAACUCGGUCCUGCAUUCGCAGGUCGAGGUCAUCACUUAUGAUGGAUGGCAUGUUGGGUACCGAUUGCUGUUCGCAGUCGAGCGCAUGUGCUGAGACCCGAAAGAUGGUGAACUAUGCUUGAGUAGGAUGAAGCCGGAGGAAACUCUGGUGGAGGUCCGAAGCGUUUUUGACGUGCAAAUCAAUCGUCAGACUUGGGUAUAGGGGCGAAAGACUAAUCGAACCAUCUAGUAGCUGGUUCCCUUCGAA
rnacentral:rRNA from 2 species